GAAUUGCAGAUAUUCGUGAAUCAUCGAAUCUUUGAACGCACAUUGCGCCCUCUGGUAUUCCGGAGGGCAUGCCUGUUUGAGCGUCGUU
rnacentral:rRNA from 1 species